rnacentral:rRNA from 1 species
AUGGUAAAACAAGACCAGCAAAGCCUCCCGCUGUGCCGACAAAUCCCGAUAGGAGCUGCACAUAUCUCGUUCUCAGGGCACACCGGAUUGUCCAAACUUCCGGUAGGCCAGCCCAGAGUUGCCCCUGGUGGCCACCGGCGGUUGGCAGGUUGGACCAACACUCACAACGAGCACUGGCCCGGGGGUAAAAUAAAGAUGACCCUUGAGUCUGCAGAACCCAAGGGAAAAAGGCUUAGGUGGCAAAUGGUAAAACCAAGGUUGGGCCUUGCUGGAGGAGUUUUAUUCAAAGCGAACUGUCAAGGGUGUCCCAUAAAUCACCCAACUGCGUAA